GACGAAGGGGGCAAGCGUUGUUCGGAAUUACUGGGCGUAAAGGGCGCGUAGGCGGCCAUUCAAGUCAGCCGUGAAAGGCCUGGGCUCAACCUGGGAAUUGCGGUUGGGACUGAGUGGCUAGAGAGCGGGAGAGGAUGGUGGAAUUCCCAGUGUAGAGGUGAAAUUCGUAGAUAUUGGGAAGAACACCGGUGGCGAAGGCGGCCAUCUGGACCGUAUCUGACGCUGAGGCGCGAAAGCGUGGGGAGCAAACAGGAUUAGAUACCCCCGUAGUCC
rnacentral:rRNA from 1 species